rnacentral:lncRNA from 1 species
CUCUCACCCUACCCAAGUGCUAGGUCGGCUCUGAAUUUCAUAUCAAACAGUUAGAAGGUGAAGUGGGAUUCCAAACAUAAUAUGGUCUAUUCAUUUCUGAAUGACCACCAAACAUAAUCUAGAGCAUCGUGGGCUUUAAGCACAUGCCCUUUACCAUUUCUAGCAAAAGUCCAAAUAAUCCCACAAACACCAGAGUACAAAAGGGUAUUGUGAACAAUAAAUUGGGACAUAUCGGAAGCACAUGCGGAACAACGAAAUGUACAUGUGCCUUUAUGAAACAUUAUGAUACAAACAUGAAGUUUACAUAACAUAUUUAGGUGUCCAAAUACAUGUAGGACAAGAGCAUACAAGAAUUCAAAGCAGUAAUAUAAAGCUCAAUUGAAUAAGAAAGCCAAAGGAUAUCAAUUUCCAAAGGAAAGAAACCAGAAUAUGCGAAAUCGACCAAAGCUCGAUUUCUGGUAGAAUUCAAGAGGCACAUUGAACAAAUGAUUCAAACUAUCAAUCGUGCUCCAAUAUACUCAAGAAAGCUAUCAAAAGAAAGGUUUAUGAGUCUAUAUUCUGAUCAAAUAAUUUUUGUCUAAAUCAGAGGUCAAUACAUGAAGUUAUAAUCAUAACAAGGUAGAAAGGUCAGAAUCUCAGACGUUGCACAGAUUCGGAUCGAUAAGUCUAAACAAGAGAUAUAUCAAAUGCAAGGGUAGAACAAUUCAAAGUUUCUCAUAUUCAAAUCAAAUGUAGAGAUAGAAUUACAGUAAGGAAAGAUCAAGACACUUGCAAUAGGAAAGAUUAGAACAAUAACAGGAGAAACGAUCGGGAAACUUGCCUUUUGAAGGUUUUGAUCCAAAGAUUCGAAGAAGGUGUACGCUCGAAUCCUUUUUCUACAUUUCCUCCAUCCCCUCCCUGUUUCGUUUUGUACACUCGUUUUCUUUCUUUCUUCGCAACUACACCACGUGUCGAACAUCGAGGCACAGUCACCUGCUCUCUCUUACUCUCAUUCCUUCUUUUUCUUUCCCAAACGCAGCUGCCACAGCCGCCACCACUGUCGCUGCCUCAAUCGCAGCCCAUUCCACCGCACUACCUUCCUUCCUCCCUUCUCUCGCAGACAUAACUGCUGCAUACGCAGUCGCUGCUGCUGCGUCCGCAAUCCCGUCCACAGCCCCUUUUUCCCCCUUUCAUUUAUUUUCUUUCCCAGCUCUAACCGCCGCAGUCGCAGUCGCAGCCAUGGCCGCAGCCACCACAGCCGCAGUCUCUUCUUCCUCCCCUGCUCUAUUUCCUC